rnacentral:tRNA from 1 species
GGCGAUAUAGUUUAUACCUAGAAUAUUUGUUUUACACACAAAAGGAAUGUUUAUACUUUUUCGUUA